rnacentral:rRNA from 1 species
UAGGGAAUUUUGCGCAAUGGACGAAAGUCUGACGCAGCAACGCCGCGUGAGUGAUGAAGGUCUUCGGAUUGUAAACCUCUUUCAGUAGGGAAGAAGCGAAAGUGACGGUACCUGCAGAAGAAGCGCCGGCUAACUACGUGCCAGCAGCCGCGGUAAUACGUAGGGCGCAAGCGUUAUCCGGAAUUAUUGGGCGUAAAGAGCUCGUAGGCGGUUUGUCGCGUCUGCCGUGAAAGUCCGGGGCUCAACUCCGGAUCUGCGGUGGGUACGGGCAGACUAGAGUGAUGUAGGGGAGACUGGAAUUCCUGGUGUAGCGGUGAAAUGCGCAGAUAUCAGGAGGAACACCGAUGGCGAAGGCAGGUCUCUGGGCAUUAACUGACGCUGAGGAGCGAAAGCAUGGGGAGCGAACAGGAUUAGAUACCCUGGUAGUCCAUGCCGUAAACGUUGGGCACUAGGUGUGGGGGACAUUCCACGUUUUCCGCGCCGUAGCUAACG